GUGAUUAAAGUUCAAAGAUCUGACACCAGCAAGUGCUGGCAAGGACCCGGAGCACCUGGAAUUCCCACACAUGGCUGGCGGGGAGGAAAAUGGCACAGCUGCUGUGGCAGUUUCUCAAACAGUGUGACCCAGCAUCCUGCUCCUCCGCGUCUACUCAAGAGGAAUGAGCACAUGUCCACACAAAGACUCACACAAGCAGCUAUCUGUAAUGGGCCCACGCUGGAAACAGCUCCUGUGUCCAUCACAGGGGAGUGGUAUGCAAACUGUAAUGUUCCAACCCUGAGGAUCGCCUCUCAGCAGCACCACCCGCUGGCACUCAGUCCCAUGAGGAAUCUCCAAGUCAUGCAGAGAGGAAGGAAUGUGCUAGCCAGUCUCCGCCUUAAGAGGAGAGCAUGGCGGUGUGGCCGAUGGUAGAAGGAGAGUGACUAGGGAGGGAAGGACGUUGCCUCGGAGAACCACUGCAGCAGUGCAGGCAAGGGAAGAAGAGGGGUCACACUAAGGAGAUGGGCAGAGAGAGGGACGUGAAUCAACCCAGACGCGGACAGGGGCAUGCGACUGGAAGAGAAGGGGCAUCACAGAUGGAGGAGGCAGGCCUUUGCCGCUGUGGCCUGGCCAGAAUCCAUUGUCUCUUCUGGAAGUAGACCCCACGUUCCCUGUGGGAACAUUCCUCACCCCUCUGCCCCUACAGUCCAAGAGCGGCUCUGCCACAGCCCAAGGCGGGAGGCAGGUAACUGGGUCCUGGCCAGUGGACACCCAGCUCCCCCUACAGUGGAGGAUUCUGUUUCAAGGCUGUUUCGGGAGAGUUAUAGGAACCAGGCUUGGCCCACCAUGCAGUCCCAUCCCAGGGUACGGAGAUGGGUUCCGGAGUGAACUCGGCAGGAGUUAUCAGAGGCUGGGAGUAGAAGCCAGUGGACAUGAACCUGGAGUUAUAAACCUGGAGCUGCCAGGGUGCAGGGAGGGCCUGCCCCCAGAGAAGCACCCUGGAGACAGCCAGCCUGAGAGUGAAGGGAGCCAGGUCCUGAGGACACCACUGGAGCCCUGGACUUCGUGUCAGUCUGUCCAGAGGUUCAUUUGCUCACUUAGGUCACUUGCAACAGGUAUGCCCUCGACUGCUCCAUAAGGUGGAGAGACAGAAGAGCGCAGAGGGUCACCUUAGACACGCUGAGCACCCAAGUGGCAGUGUUGGUGAGACGAGACUUGGGAGCCCUUCUCUUGGUCCUUGAAAUAAACUGUGGAAUAAAUGACAGUGCCCAGAGAGGGUGGGAAGCCAGAGGUGGCUGCGGCCAGCGCCCUGGGGAGACCUCAGGAUAAGGCUUCAGGGGGAGGAGGAGGCAGCAAAGGUCAAUAAGGGGAGGAGAGACCUGGCAUAAGAGUCAGCCCCGCCCCAGGUCAGGUUGAGCAAGACCAAAAAGGAGCCAGUGGAUCUGGAAACUAGGCCAUCGGUGACCUUCCCAGCCCUUCUGGGAGUGCUGGGCCAGAAGCCAGCCUUGGUGUUGAAAUGGAUUCAAAGGUGAGGGGGAGGGAAUCUGACCUUGAGAGGAAGGAGGAAAGGUGGUUAGUGUUUUUCCAUUUAGGUGUUUUUUGAAGGGCAGGGAGUCGAGCUUGCUUGUGGAAAAGAGAGAGAUUAGGCAUGGGAUGGAAUCCCAGAGGCCCCCUGCCUCCUGCUGCAGAGUGGUGUCAUUUGACGUGAGUUCAACAUGAAGAUUAUUAGUGAGACAUUCUACAUUAUUUUGUACUAGAUCUUCAAAGCUGGCCAGCGAGGCACAUCAGCGCUGCGGCGGAGCUGUUCCACCAAAUUCAGGGAAAAUGCUCUCGGAUCCUGGGCCGCCGGGCACGCAGGGCCUGGGGCCAGAUGUGCUACGCUGGCUCCAGAGCCUGUGCCCAGCUCAGGGCCUCUGUCCUCAUUGGUGAGCUCCUUACCUGCUCCCUGUCCAGUCCCAGUGAAGCCAACUGUGGCCCAAGACUGAAGCCCUGUGUGACAUCCCAGUAUAGACAUUGCCCUUUGUGAGGCCCAGGAUGUGUGCCCUGUUCUCAAGCUGGAGCGCUCCGACUUCAGAGACCCGCUGCCAGUGAUGUUGGAGGGCACGGAUGCCCUUCUCUGGGCUGGAUCAAGCUGAACCAGACCCAGGAGUGUUGGAUGUGGGGCUUGGUCAGAGCCAUGUGGGGCGUCUCCUCUGCCCCAGGCCCUCCUGGAUCCCCAGCCUUUGCCCCCAGCUGCCAUGAAGAUCCAGACCUUUGAGUUAGGCUUUGGAACAUGGAGACUUUCUUGGUGGGCCACGGGCAGGCGGUUAUCAGAUCGUCCACCUUGGUCUGGGAAGGUCAUGGUUCUUAAUGGUGGAGCUUUGUAGGGACUCACAACUGGGUGGGGGAGAGGAGGAGCCAUGCUGAAGAGAGGUCAGUCUCCACAGCACAGAGGUAGUGGCACCGGAGGCAGUGGGGUGGGGUGGCACGUAGGCAGCCCUUUCACAAUCCCAUGGGCUCCAGCCAGCCCUGUCAGCAGUGACCCAUUUUCUAGAGCAGGAUCCCUGGCGGGAGGUGCCCGGCCCUGUCAUUUCCCCCCUGAGGACUCCUGCCUGCCUUCGAGAAGUCUGUUUGGUCACAGAACCUUGGGGCAUUUCAUGGUGCUCCUUGGGUUCAGAGGGGCAGGAGGGCCCUCUGCUUCUCCCCUGCUUGGGCUCCAGGAGCCUGGCUUUGUUUACCAGCAUGAGAUUAGGUAACUCUGCCAACAGAACAAAGGCCCUGGCCUGCUGCCCAGAGGUUCUGGAAGUUCCAGGCACCAGGGCAGGAGAUGCGCACGUGGACCUGUGCAUACUCCAAACAGGCCAGGGAGGGCCAGCUGGCCGGAAACCUCGGUGGCCCAGGUCUGACCUAAAGGGCCCCAGGUGCCUCAGUACAGAUGUCAGUGGGUUCAGACUUCAGCCACUUUAAUCCAGAAGGCCAUGUCAAUUAUGUUCAUAAAAGCUGAGUGUUGGGAGGAAGGAGGAGCCCGGCCCCUCUUCAACAGCUUCUGGUUACACCCUAAGCUAAUCUGGUGAUCCAACAAGAGAGCUCGAACAAAUGGCAGGACUAUCUAUCUGUGUUUCCAUUUAAUAAUUUGAUAAUUUGCAAUACUUUUAAAAUGUCACAGACAAAAAGGGAAUGGUGAUCCAUGGUUUAUAAACCAUCUCCUGGGAGUGGUUAGUUCCACUGGAAGCACAAAAUAGACGUCUAACAAAGGUGAGCGGCUGACUCAGCCCCUACUCACUUCUUGCCUCUGUAGCCUAGUAGGUGGUCAAAUUGUUGGGUUUAAAUGCCUUUUAGGUGUUCUAGAUGGAAUUCCUGAAACGCAUCUCUCUAGAAGAAGAGAUGCAGUACUUAGAAAGGGACAGGAAGCAGACAACAUCUCCUGUCAUUGAAUGCUGUUUCCUGCCUUCUGAGUUUGUUUUUAUUUGUGGUUACUUAUCUUUUUCCUCCCUCCCACUUCUGUCAUCCAGUUAUCAAGUUCCCCUCCAUGGUUUCUUGUAUAUUUUUCCAAAAUACAAAUACACAGAUAUUUUAUAUGUGUGGGUAAA